AGAAAAGCAGGGGAUCGCAAGACCUUGCGCUUUUGGAGCGGCCGAUGUCUGAUUAGCUAGUUGGUGAGGUAAAGGCUUACCAAGGCUUUGAUCAGUAGCUGGUCUGAGAGGACGACCAGCCACACUGGGACUGAGACACGGCCCAGACUCCUACGGGAGGCAGCAGUGGGGAAUUUUGGACAAUGGGGGAAACCCUGAUCCAGCCAUGCCGCGUGAGUGAAGAAGGCCUUCGGGUUGUAAAGCUCUUUCAGCCGGAACGAAAAGGUUACGGUUAAUACCCGUGACUAACGACGGUACCGGAAGAAGAAGCACCGGCUAACUACGUGCCAGCAGCCGCGGUAAUACGUAGGGUGCGAGCGUUAAUAGGGAUUACUGGGCGUAAAGCGUGCGCAGGCGGUUUUGUAAGUCAGAUGUGAAAUCCCCGGGCUCAACCUGGGAACUGCGUUUGAAACUACAAGGCU
rnacentral:rRNA from 1 species